CGGCGCUCAAGCAUGGCGACGAUGUGCUUGUUUCUUAUGGGGGGCUCUACUACAAUGCCAAGGUCACCAACAUCAAGUUUCGAGCGAAUGCUUGGCGGUAUUUAGUGCAUUACACGGGAUGGAGCAAAAAGUAGUGUAACCCUUUGAUAUUAAUCUAGGCAACAAUUUUCUUGGCCUCGAUUCUUGGUUUUGCAGAUUUGACGAGUGGGUUCGCAGCAAUCGCAUUUUCGACGAGAAGGCCAGGGGCCAGCUUAAGAUCGCCCCAAAGGUAAAGCAGGAGCUUGGUUUCAGCGAUGCAUUGAAC